GGACAACGGAGUCUAUCACUGCAGCGCAAACUCCGGGGUGGCCAGCAGUAACAACGUGUUCAUCACGGUGGUGGACCUGGUUGUCACCGUGUCCAACGUGUUGGUUGAGGUGUGUGACGGUGGGACCGCAUCCCUGAGCUGCGUUGCCUCCUCACCCCUGAACUUCUCUCUCUUCUGGGCCCAUGGAGGCUGUGAGGACAAUCGAACCCUUAGCAGUAACGGAACGCUCCUUCUGUCACCUGUGACCGCUCAACACGGUGGCGACUACCACUGCUGUGCUUCCAUCAACACCUGGACUCCCCUCCAAAGGAGCAAGACGGUGAAAGUCAAAGUUCUUGGUACCGAGCGGCCCCAGACCUCCAUCGUCGUGUACUACCUGUUGGCAAAAGGGGGGUUUUUUCUUCUCUUUCUUGUUUUUAAUUUGCUUACACUAUUCUGUAAAUUAGGAGAGCCGAGGUCGUGAUCUAAAAAGGGCUCUUGCUCACAGCAUCACUCCAAGCACACUGACACGCAAACACCCAGGAACACACACGGUGCAUCAUUGUCUCACGGCAUAUCUUUGUAUGUCAGUCACUUUUUGAAUUGGUUCCGAUGCAUCGCUUCCACUGUAGACCCCCCCUGCAUGUGCUGCUUUUACCUUCAGUUAUUAAAUCUUGCAUAUAGCUGCAAAUUUUCCCGCAAAAACGUUGUUCCUUUAAGUGAAGGACGAG